CCCAGGUGGCAGAAGAGUGGAGGGAUUUGGGAAAGGUCACAGCCACCCUGCAAAGCAGCCUUGUAGAUAAGUAUCUCUUCAGCAGCCCACCUGCCCUCUGCUGCUGCAUGCACGAAAGGGUCAGCUCUGGAACCCCCAAAGGGAGGGUGGAUGGAUGUCCUGUGACUCUGGCUCUCGAAGAUGCCAUUUGUAAGCCCCCACAGGCUACUCGGUCUUGCAGACACAUGGAGACCUCCUCAGGGUUCCCCGAGGGACAUGUUUCUCCAUCAGCUCAAGGAUCCUGUGACAGGAGGCUCUAAGAGCAGCUAUGAGAUAUCUUACCUUCCCUGGCUCUGGGUUUGGAGGAGAGAUGUAGCAUGACUGUCAGGAAAAAGCAAACCUGAGCCCUGGGGUGGGAUUCAGGGCACUCCCUUCUCUCCUUCACCCUGGUGAAUGGGUGAAUCGCGGUGGUCCUCACAAGCCCUGUGGCCACCUGUUCUUUAUUGUGGGAGUCACGGGAAAGGAGGGGACUGAGGUGAGCAGAGGCUGCUUUCAUUUUCCAGCCAUGCUUUGAAUGGCCACCAAGUACCCUUGUGUGACAGGGCAGGGAUCAGAGAGAGGUACAAGCUUCCGGCAGCCACUGUAGUACUAAGCUCAGAGUUCCAGAUUCCCCCUCUGUCCAACACCCCCUUCUGUUGUCCCUUAGCUGACCCAUUUGCUCCGGGUUUUCUUGGAUCACUCAAGUACCCACAAUGCUCUAGGUGACAGAGGAGGAGGAGGCAGGUGGUUCCUGAGCCAAGGGAGGGCUUGGGCAUGGUCAUCUCCUGGAGCGGGGAUUUGGUGGUGGUAGGGUGCUGGCUCUUCUGUCUUCCAGAUCAUCCAGUGAUGUCUGUGUAGGGGAGGAGCUAGGCCUUCCAUGAUGUCAGGUGAUGCCGUGUGUCGAGGUGUGAACAACAGAGAGAUGGUCCCAUCCUCUGAGAUCUUCAAGUAUGAAAACACAUCAACACAGCCCAGCAAGCGGACAGUUCUGUGCAUCUCCAGACCCUGAUCUACCUUGGAACUCUGGGCAUCCCUUGGAUUCUGACCUCCUGGAACUGGCGAGCAACCUGUCUCCCUGAAGACCCUGUCCUUCCCAGUACCUGAGACGGAGCCCCCUGAAGAAGAGCCAUUUCUGGAAGAUGUACUACAUAGGAUUCUCCCUGCCUUUGAUGGACAGCUCCAGGGGUUGGGACAGGGGGAGGCUGCAGUUUGGAGCCCAGGGGUACUGGAGGUCCCUCCUC